ensembl:misc_RNA 7SK 7SK RNA
GCAUGUGAGAGUAAUCCAUGACACUUGUUACUUCUUGAUCGCCAGCAUUAAUUCUGCUGGUCUGGCCGGCUAGGUGAGCGUCCCUUUCUUCCCUUCCCACUUCCCCUGAAGCUGCACGCUCAGUCUAAGAAGAUGACCUCCCCCAUAGAGAAAGACCUGUCUUCCAUCAAGGGUCCAGGAACAGCUGUGCCUCCCCACCCCUGCUGCUGCUGCUGCUGCUGCGUCGCUUCAGUCGUGUCCGACUCUAUGCGACCCCAUAGACGGCAGCCCAU